CCGCAAGGUUAAAGCUCAAAGGAAUGACGGGGGCCCGCACAAGCGGUGGAGUAUGUGGUUUAAUUCGAAGCAACGCGCAGAACCUUACCUGGCCUUGACAUCCCAGGAACCCUGAUGAAAGUUGGGGGUGCUCGCAAGAGAGCCUGGAGACAGGUGCUGCGUGGCUGUCGUCAGCUCGUGUCGUGAGAUGUUGGGUUAAGUCCCGCAACGAGCGCAACCCUCGUCGUCAGUUGCGACCAUUCAGUUGAGCACUCUGACGAGACUGCCUGUGUUAAGCAGGAGGAAGGUGGGGAUGACGUCAAGUCCUCAUGGCCCUUACGGCCAGGGCUACACACGUACUACAAUGGGCGAUACAAAGUGUUGCGACCUCGCGAGAGCAAGCCAAUCACAAAAAAUCGUCCCCAGUUCAGAUUGCAGUCUGCAACUCGACUGCAUGAAGGUGGAAUCACUAGUAAUCGCGGAUCAGCAUGCCGCGGUGAAUACGUUCCCGGGCCUUGUACACACCGCCCGUCACACCAUGGGAGUUGUUUUGACCCGAAGUCGCCGUUCAAACCCGCAAGGGAUGUAAGCGCCUAAGGUCGGGAUAGCGACUGGGGUGGAGUCGUAACAAGGUAGCCGUA
rnacentral:rRNA from 1 species